CCAGGUGUCCUCAGGUGUCCCCAGGUGUAUCCAGGUGUCCCCAGGUGUAUCCAGGUGUGUCUCAGGUGUCCCCAGGUGUCCCCAGGUGUAUCCAGGUGUGUCUCAGGUGUCCCCAGCUGUAUCCAGGU